AGCUCCUGUGGGAGGCCCAAGAAAGGAGAUGAGACAGUUAGUGGAGGAGGAUGGGCUCAGCCAGGCCUAGACUGAGAAGGAUGUGUUCACCUUGACAGGGCCCUGUGCUAAUCACGAGUCUUUCCUGUUCAGAGCAGUGAGGCCUGAGACCCUCAACAGUGCUGCGUGUACAGAAGGCCCCAGAAUCCACACAAAGGUGCCGCCUGAAACCUAGAGCAUUUGUGGAGGAAAAUGGAAGGAACAACUGGAUGUUGUAAAUGUUUCUCAUCUGGCCUGAAAAUCCAUGAAAGCUGGAAAAUCCCAAGGCAUCUGUGCACAUACUGGUGGAUUUUAAUGAGAGUCCUGUGCUUGGAGCACCAGAAAUAAACCAGCUUCAGAAGUAAAGUAAGAAAAGGCCCUUGAUUAUGACACUGGCCCCGGGUAUUACUAUAUGUAGGUGGUAAGUGGACGUUUCUGGGACACCUGUCCUGCAAACUUUCUUUCCACCCUGAGCUGACUUUUGAAUUGUGCCUGACUGAAAAACUUCUAAGGGGAGAGGUGGUUGGGCCCUCCAGGGGUCCUGUGUUUCUCUUAGGGGGACAAUCUCUCCCUAAUUCCAUGUGGUCCUGGUGGUACUCUCCACCAUGCUGCCAUCCUCACUCCCGGGGGGACCAGGGGACAAGGAACCCAGUGGGGCUGGGCCAAUGAGAGUCCCCCGAUCACAAUCCCUGGUUCAAAGAUGGCCAUGUGCCUGAGCAGCUUUGAAACCACAGAGAUGUCAUCUCCUCCCGAGAACGAAGUUAACAGGAGGAGGAAGCAGAGCUAGAGAUGGAACGAGACCCAGCCAGCCCAGGCUCCAGUGACAUCAGCCGGUACAUGCUCUUGUUUGCUUACGCUUGUUAAACGGAGUUUUUCAUAUGUAACUAAUGAAUACUGGCACAUGUAAGUAGUUUCUUAAACUGUUGAUGAAAUGUUUGUUUCUAACACGAACAUGAUCUGGCUCUGUUUGGGACAAAACUUCCCUAAGGGGCUUCAUGAGAUCUAAGGAACCACUGUAGCCAGUGUUUCCCAAAGUGGUCUUGUGAGUUGCUCUGAGGGGAAAAAAAAGUUCCAUGGAUAAAUACAUUUGAGGAGUCUGCCUUUCAGAGGCCUGAAAUGUAAAUAUAUAUAUUAAAGGUUCUGAGAAGUCCUGGAUUACUGUUUGCCCCAGAACUUCUGGAACAGUAUCACCUAUGAAGAUCCACAGAACACACUUUGAAAAACACUCUUAAAUAGGCUAAUAUUAUAAAAUGAGGUUGACUUAUCUUUUAUGUUGGAUCCUGAACAGUUUCUGGUUCAAACUAUUACUGUUGAGUAAUAAUUGUGACAAUAUAACCUGCUUCACAGGGGCCAAAAGUCCACUAUGUAUUGAUCAUAAAGGCUCAAGGAGACACCACUGAGUUCAAAACAGUGAUGUCUGGAUAAGGCAGUAGAUGAGGUUAAGGGUUCCUGUGGUGGUUUAUUCGGUAUGUGAAGAGCCUAACCCUUAGCUGGCCUGUGCUGUUCUCCUUCUGGGUCACAGAACCCAUACAUGACAGGGCAUUGGGAUCUGGAUGAUGGGGUGGGAGAUGCUGGAUUGGUGGUUUGGUUCUCAGGUGGCUCCCCGAGGGGCCACAGUAUGGAAACCACUGGCCUGCUCCUGCCUCUGAGGAAACAGAGCUGGAGGAAAAGAGGUAAAGAUGUAUUUUUCCAAAAUUGUGAUGUCUUACACAGAAUCUUUCUUAGUGCUUCCCCAUCAUUACUGAAGUAUGUAAGGUAGUUUUAAAGCUAUAAAUGUUGCUUCAUGUAUUGGUCUCUUAUUCUCAAGUUGGGGGAAUAGACCCUUGUUCUGGCUGCUCAGCUAAGCCUUUCAGUACAAAUUCAAUUUUAGGGUAAUAGUCAAGGAAUGCCAUGUGCUACGAAAGCAAAAUUAAAUGAGAGAGACCAUUUAGGAAGCAUUUAUUCUUCAUGAAUAAUACAAAUGGGGCCACUAAAUAGUUGCCCUAGUAAAGCUAAGUCCAUCAUUCACUGGACCAUGAGCUGGGGCAGGAUGAAGAUGUAGCUGUGCUCUUUAAACUGUGACCCAGCAGAGCAGCUUAGCACUGGGCAGUCUGGGUCACAGAAGUGACAACAUCAGAAUCUGUGAGGCCAGUGCCUGUGGGGGCUUUCCACAGGAAGAAUGCCCUUUCCCAGGACUAUGCUCAGAGACGUGUGGCCUGCAAAGCGUACUGGCCAGGGGCCCUCUGGUACCAGACAGAUGGCAAAUUCACCCACAUCUCACAGGAUUGUGUGGUUUAUAAGUGCUUGACAUAGGGAGGUGGGGCUGCUGGGAGGGAGGAAUUUCAAACGGAAUUAUUUUUGUAAAUGUAUAACUUACAAAACAACUGGUAGCACAUACUUGGGUUGCUGAAUAGUCCUGUAGUUGGGGACGAGGCCCUCUAGAGGCAUUCUGUCUUACCUGGUCUGGGAAGGUGCUGUUGCUCAGUAUAUGUAGGUGUGUCCCUGCAUGUGCACACAUGUAUGCGUGAGCAUGCACAGGCAGUAUGUAGAUAUUUCAAGCAGAUGUGCCUACAUUUCCACAGCAGCUCUUUCAAACCUGGUUAAUUCUAGUUCUGGCUAUCAUCCCAACCUCCAUCACCUUUAGCAGAUGAGAUGACUGGCCCUCCCAUA